GAGAGGGUUUUAAAGGCAUUUUGCACUUAAGUACUCAUGAAACAACAUUGUUAUUCUCACACAGCAGGCGUAAGCAGAAGAAACAGAGACAUAACAACUUAGCAAUGCAAAAUGAGCUCCAGGCAUCAGCCCCUGCAAACUGGGAUCAAGAGUGAUGGAAGAUCUCCUGUUGACAAGUUCCCUCGCACAACCAGUGCUGCAAAAAGCUGUCAAUAAGAGCUUGCCCUGUGUUAUGAGUUGGAUUGAGGGAAGUGAUGGCAUGGUGGGAAUACGUCCUAUCAUGGAGAUAUGAAGAGUGCUUGGAAGAAGAGUAAUGAAAAGGAGUCAACCUCUUCAGGGCAUCCAUGCACUGCAUACUCCCACCAUUCACAUUGUCUGACCUACCUUCUCUUAACAUCUUCUCCCCCCAACCAGGACAAUUUGCUUCAUGGGUCUGGCCCCAGUUUAAAUUUCAUGGAAGACAAAGUGGCAGAAGUAGAAAUGUUCCUCCCUUAUUAUGGACCCUGAAGUAUGCAUGAUUUAGUGGAGAGCUGUGGAGACCAAGGUAGUA